rnacentral:rRNA from 1 species
AACGUAGGUGGCGAGCGUUAUCCGGAUUUACUGGGCGUAAAGCGUGUGCAGGCGGCUGGGCAAGUCGGGCAUGAAAUCCACCGGCUCAACUGGUGGGGGCUGUCCGAUACUGCCGAGCUUGAGGGCUGGAGAGGGUGGUGGAAUUCCGCGUGGAGUGGUGAAAUGCGUAGAGAUGCGGAGGAACACCAGUGGCGAAAGCGGCCACCUGGUCAGCCCCUGACGCUGAGACACGAAAGCUAGGGGAGCGAACGGG